GUAUCAUUUUAUUGUUUGUGAUGAUGAUAUUAUCUACAGAGAUGAUAUUACUAUAUACAUAAAGAAGAUAACUUGCACAGAAGACAAAUAAAAAUGCAUCCGCAAGAAGGGUUAACGAAACCAGCAUGAAUGAAGAAGUUGCGCAGGUCAUACCUUUUUUCAACAAAAGAAAAAUAACUUCAUUCAGAAAUAUGAUUUACAAAGAAUUGUUUUUAGUGUUCGGUAAAGUUCAAUCGUAUGACUCAUUCUACUUCUUUUCCCCAUCCCACUCUC
rnacentral:lncRNA from 1 species